AACAUCGCCUCUUGAACCCUUAUAAGAGGUCCAGCCUGCCCAGUGACUCUGUUCAACGGCCGCGGUAUCCUAACCGUGCGAAGGUAGCGUAAUCACUUGUUCUUUAAAUGUGGACUAGUAUGAAUGGCAUCACGAAGGUUAUACUGUCUCCUUUUUCUAAUCAGUGAAACUAAUCUCCCCGUGAAGAAGCGAGGAUAAAACUAUAAGACGAGAAGACCCUAUGGAGCUUUAAACAUUUAUAACACUUGCUAAAUAAAAUACAAAUUUCAGAAUUAUUUACUCUUUAAGCAACUUGUCUAUAAGUUUUUGGUUGGGGUGACCGCGGAGCAUAAUACAACCUCCAUGUUGAAAGAUCUAUUUCUAAGCUAAGAGCUACACCUCUAAGCAUCAACAUAUUGACAUCCAUUG
rnacentral:rRNA from 1 species